rnacentral:piRNA from 1 species
UAAAAAUUUGACCUACUGAAA